CUCAUUAUGCUAUAGUGUAACUAGUGUAUAACUGAUACUACUCAUUAUGCUAUAGUGUAACUAGUGUAUAACUGAUACUACUCAUUAUGCUAUAGUGUAACUAGUGUAUAACUGAUACUACUCAUUAUGCUAUAGUGUAACUAGUGAAUAACUGAUACUACUCAUUAUGCUAUAGUGUAACUAUAGUGUAAGUAGUGUAACUAUAGUGUAACUAUGGGCCCAAUUCAAUCAAAUCUGCUUUAGCCGACAUCCGUUUUCACGGUGUCUGAGGUGGAACUGCGUUAGAGCUGUCAAAUCCACCAGCAGCUCCCGGCAUAGUACCUAAAGUGGACAUUGCCAUUGGCUGCACGGAGUCACAUUAAGAGAAAUCUAAUGCAGCCUUGUUUAUAAGUUCGAAUGCUGGAAUGUGAGAUGUAAUCUACACCUCCAUUAGACUGAUAGAAAUCCUCAUUAUUUUGUUUAAUUAUUUUCAAUUUGAGCGUCAUUAUUUCUAUAUAGCCUACACCUUCACUUUCUUUGUGACAAUGAUCAAGACCAGCUGCUAACCAACGCAGUUACACCUCGUACACCAUCAAAACAUCAGCUACACGGGUGUCAACGCUUGAUCUGAUUGACUCUUGGCCUAUGUGUCACAAGCACAUUAGCUACAGUUCAGAUAACCUAAAUGAUCAAUAACCAUUCAAAUAUUGCUUUGCUGUAUUGUUCAAUCAUCAUUCGGAAUACAAAGGCUAUAAGGUAGUAGACCAAAAAGACACCCGUUUUAGAAUGGGCUGUCAAGACAAUUGUAUAACCCAUCAACCAUUAAAAUGUCUGUACAGUUUAGGUUACACAGCUACAGUACUGUUUCAUUGGUGAUCAGAAAGUGACUAAUACAAAGUUAUGGCCCUACACUGUCGUGCAAUGUAAAAAACCAUUAAACUUGCCAUUGUGCUUCCUGCCAUACCACAUGACUCUCCCACAGUGAAGUAUUCGGGAAAACUAACUUUUUAAUGCCCGGAACUGAACCCUAACCAUUUCCCUUUCUCUGCAGCUGUGGCAGUUAGGUUACUGAAGUCCUCUUGGAGUUCAAGACAUCUCAACAACAAAAAGAUCUACUUCUAGAACAAAUGUAGAAAACAGGAGUUGGAACUGCUGAAUAUCUUUUCAUCAAAAGACCCUCUGUUCCAACUCAUUGUUCAUGUCAAUAUUAAGCCUACAAUUAUAUGAAUCCUCAAUGGCUUUCCUUCUUCCUUCAGCUACACUAUCUGGAGAGCCUUCAACACUGACACUAUUUUUGGUGCAUCCAAAAAGGACAGCCAUUCCCAAGUGUGAUUCUUCUUGCACAUGCCCAUGGCUUCAACAGCAAUACUGAUUGAAUUGGCUUUUGCCUUUAGCAAUUGUUCUGAGAUUUCCAAAUCCUUUCUGCAUUGAUCAUUUAUCUUUGACAUUUGCUGUAGGUCGACCGGCAGCAUCUUACAACAUACCCUCAGAAAACUAGCUAGGAGUAACUCAACAAUCUGAACGGUCAAUUGAAAAAAGUCUGUGUCUGUCCACAUGGUAAGCCUGUCAAACACAAGGUCCUUGGGUACCUCAAUGUCAUCAAACAAGCGUACAUUUCCUUCAACAAGGUCUCUUCCAUCUUCCUGCCAUUCCUUGAGCUUGGUAACAAGGGUUCGGUAUCUUACUUCCAUGUCCAACACACUUUCAUUCAAAGUCAAGGCUCUCCAGAGAGGAUCAAUGAUUAUCUUAGAAAUCAGACCCAGAGCUCUGCAUCCUGCUUUAAAUGGCUGAAUCUCCAAACCAGCAGCAACAGCUGCAAGCAUACUACUCUCAUCUUCAUAGUCCCUGUUAAACACAAUUAUAUCACCAUGGAUGCUAUACACCCCAGCAGCAUUGUGAAACAGACUGUCAAUUCUGUUUCCACUGGAUGGAGAUAAGGGCACUUCAUCAAAUUCUCCUUUGCUGGCCAGAAAGGUUUUGAACUGAACAAGAUAACUGUCCAUUCCCCAUCGUUGUUCUUGGACAGCAUCACUCACAGUAUUCCCCAAACGCACUGUUCCAGACUCCAACUCUACUGUUCUAAUGUUAGGAGAGCUGUGGACUCCUACUUCCUUUUCUCCUAAAAUCAUUUUUUCCCAGAGAAGAAGAGUUGUUUUUGCCUGGUGAGCCAAGCCGUCAAUCAAAUGUAAGCCACAAAAGAGCUGAUUCACAAGGGAAAUGAUUGUCUUCUCAGCGUGGCUAAAGCCAUCAUAUUUCUCAACUAUGAGUGGUAGGACAUCUGAUCUGUAUUUAGCAAGGAUUGGUUUGAAAUUAUUUUCGGAACCAAUCUGAUAACCAAAACAGUUUUUAAAUUUGGAAAAAAUCCAUCUUCUCCAAUGUAUAUUUUUACACAUUAAGAUUUUAUGGAUAUAUGUCCAGCAAAUGUUUACUUGGUUGUUCUCUGAGUCCGAGGCUUGCUCUAUGACCCCAGAUUGACGAUCAGACUCUUCCUUUAUGAAGAUGUCAGCAGAUCUAUUCUCACGGCCGAGUAUUGCCGUCUCAUCAGCAAACCGGGUUGCAUCAGUCUCAGUAAAGACCCUCUCGGUCUUUAUACUCUGAGGAACUUGCCUGGCUGUUUCAAAUUUGUCUUCCUGCAUCUUCUUUGCUAUUAAAGCUUCUCUUUUUUUUAUUUUUCCUCCUGUAAUCCAGUGGCCUUUCUUUUGUUACAUUUGAAAUCCCAGAACGUUUCCAAUGAGGCGCCAUUGAGAACUUUUCUUUUAGUAAUUCAAGUUCACCUUUUUUUGCCUUUCAGUCUCCAACUUUGAAUUUUCAUUUUCUUCUUGACUAAUGUUAAGUUAUGAAUUAUAUUUUCAAGGAGAUCUAUAUUUUUGGGGAAAUCAAGAUCAAAAUUGUACUCGAGAACAGCAGAGACAAUCUGCCUGUAGGUUCCACACACAUCGGCCACAAACUUUGCAACUUCGACCAUUACACCUCUAGUCAAUAAACGGAAGUCAAGUUUUUCUUUUCCCUCACCUUUUGAUUUCACGUCAAGGUCUAAACCUAUUUUCUUACAAAGGGGGUAGAGGUCCGUUGUUUUAUCUUCUGUUGCAGAUGUCAUAAAAGAUUUGUCUCUUGUAGGUCGGUGUACUGCUUCCUCAUGAGAUAGUGAUACAUCUGUGUCAGUAGAGAUCUUAACAUGCUGAGUUGAUACGAGGUCCAGAUUGGGUUCAUCCUUAAUACAGACGUUAGUAGGUCCAUUCUUGAGGGCAAGUGUUGCUGUUUCAACAUCUGUUUCAUUAGACAUGGUCUCUUUGACAUGAUGAGGAGAUACCUGGCUGGCAUCAAGGUCAAAGUUCAUCAGAGAGUCAGUGUUGUCCUCUUCAGCCUUUUCAUACUCAACCAACCGAUCUUCCUCAAAGGACAUUAUAGGGACACAUUCCUCCUCCUUCUUUAUAACCAACUGCUGUAUUUCUACAUCUUUUUUCAACCUCUGGUUAGCUGACACAAUGUCAUUUGAGUGCUUUACACAUGAGUAGCGUGUUUUUGAUACUGUCAUUGUCAUAGGAAGUUCGAAGACUUGAGUUAACAAUCCAGGUUUUGAGACUUUGAACUUUGUCAAUGUCAUUAAGUACGUUACUUUUCGGUUAGUCCUACUUGCGAAUUCACGACGUUGAUCACUUUGAAGACAAAGAUCAAAGUUGUAUUCUAGAAUAUCACAGAUGACAUGCUGAGAGGUCCUAAAGUAUUUGGCUAAAUCUGAGAUCUCAAUCAUUACACCAUUAGUGAGUAGCUUUAAGUCAAGUUUCUGUUUUUCUCCAGAUCCAACAUUGAAAUCAACACCUACUUUAUUGCAGUGCUCCAAAUGGAUUCGUUUUGAGGCAUUUACAAAAAACUGCCAGUUUGUUUUUUUACUCUUUAGAUUGUAGUCCUCUAACUGUGCAGUUGGGUCGAUUUGACCUCCAGAACAAGCACUUUCUGCAGCUGACAGUGGUGAUUGAGACACUGUAGGCCCAAAUACGUUUCCAAUUUGAGUUUCACUGGGUUCAAAACAUGAUUCAUCUUUGACAGAGGUGCUGGGGUUAUCUUGCUCUGUAUGGACAAUAACAUGUUUACCUUCAACAUUUGUAAUCAGAAUGACUCUCUUUACACCUACGGCCUGUGACACGGAGUUGAUACUCGAUACAAGCACAUUAUCUGUAAUCUCCCUGUCUUGAGCAACAAUAGUAGUCAGGCCUAUUGAUUCUGCUUUAAUCUCCACAUCUCUUGCUCUGCUAUCUUUUGACAAAACACCACAUAUUUGCUGUGAUGUCAUUUCAUGAGGAUGUAUAUCAUAUCCAUAACCUGCUUGUGUAUCAAAAAGAUCAGCCUUAAUAACAGAUGGGGAUAUAGGAAUAUCCGUCUCAUCCACCUCAAGCUUUAGUUCCACAUCCAUCUCACUCCAAACUAGGCUAAAUAACGUUAGUUGGUGACAUGGUUAUUUCUAAGGAAAUGGAGUAGACUUGGUCAUUCCUAAUCCUUGUUCCACUUCUUAUCAAUACCAUUCAAGUGAGUUUUAGUGGCAGCAGAGGUCCAAUAGAGCAAAAGCUAUUUUGAUCAUGUAAAAUAAAACGUUGUUGCAGUGUGGUUCUCACAUGUUUUCCUCGAAAUAAGUCCUGGUUGCCAUAAAAACAUGUUAUUUUUGCGCAACACUAUUGGAAAAAGUAUGUGUUACUGCAACAGUCGACGCUUCGCUGACACCACGUGACUAAAACAAUGAAACCAAAACCAAUUGGAUCGAUAACUAGCGACUUGUUCUUUGGUCCUAGCUAAUAUGCUAACGUUACCAUUCCAAAUUUGUAGAUCACACCUAUACAUGGAAGGUAUGUUGACUACAUACAAAGCAGCUUAUAUUAUACUACGUUAUAGUCCAUAAAAUAGAUAGCUGUUUAUGCUGCAAAAGCACAAACGUAACUGGCUCCCACAAGUUAGCUAGCUAGCCCAACCUUGACGUUGCAAGUCCCCUCAGCCUCCGACUGUUUGAAAUUGGACAAAACAAAUGUGCAGACUUCGUCUGUUUUCAAGGCGUGGCACGAUCAAGACUAGUCAUCGGUCUUUAGCCAACAGAGGGGGAAAAAAUUGGCUUAUUAUUUGUGACCAGAUCGGAAGCAUCCAUCUUUGUUGUGACUGUCAUUCUCGCUCCUGAUUGGACACUUUCUUCGUCUUUAUAUUUUUGGAGUCA
rnacentral:lncRNA from 1 species